GGGUAAGGACGGUGCCAGCCGCCGCGGUAAUACCGGCGCCUCAAGUGGUAGUCGCUUUUAUUGGGCCUAAAACGUCCGUAGCCGGUUUGAUACAUUCGUGGGUAAAUCAACCAGCUCAACUGGUUGAAUUCUGCGAGGACGGCCAGACUUGGGACCGGGAGAGGUGUGGGGUACGCUCAGGGUAGGGGUAAAAUCCUGUCAUCCUGAGCGGACCACCUGUUGCGAAGGCGCCACACUAGAACGGAUCCGACGGUCAGGGACGAAGCCUAGGGGCACGAACCGGAUUAGAUACCCGGGUAGUCCUAGGUGUAAACGCUGUGGACUUGAUGUUGGGGGUGCUCCGAGCACUCUCAGUGUCGAAGCGAAGGUGAUAAGUCCACUGCCUGGGAAGUACGGUCGCAAGGCUGAAACUUAAAGGA
rnacentral:rRNA from 1 species